GGCGGACGGGUGAGUAACACGUAGGUAAUCUUCCCUUGAGCGGGGGACAACGUUUCGAAAGGAACGCUAAUACCGCAUACGUUCCCGGGAGCUUCGGCGCCCGGGAGGAAAGCUAGGUCGCAAGAUCCGGCACUCGAGGAGGAGCCUGCGUCGCAUCAGCUAGUUGGUGGGGUAACGGCCUACCAAGGCGAAGACGCGUAGCUGGUCUGAGAGGAUGAUCAGCCACACUGGGACUGAGACACGGCCCAGACUCCUACGGGAGGCAGCAGUGGGGAAUAUUGGACAAUGGGCGCAAGCCUGAUCCAGCCACGCCGCGUGAGUGAUGAAGGCCUUCGGGUCGUAAAGCUCUGUGGGGAGGGACGAACCGCUGCUGGUGCAUAGCCAGCAGCAUGACGGUACCUCCUUAGCAAGCACCGGCUAACUUCGUGCCAGCAGCCGCGG
rnacentral:rRNA from 1 species